ensembl:lncRNA
GAAAUGUGAGCAGAGCUAUGGCUUUUCUCGUUUCUCAUCCUGUGAGGAAGUUUUCUCCACAACAAGUGGAUCCUGGAAGGAGACGCUCGGGUCCUUACAAGAUGAGCAAAUCUGAUUGAGGCUGGUUGCUGGAUUGAUGACGAUCCCUGUGAUGGAUUUAUUGAAGUGUAGAUUUACAAGUUCUGAAAACAGAAAACUGCUGGAGCAAAGAACUGCCGUCUUCCUCGUCUCUGUCAGGAGUCACUCUCUGCUCUGCCUGGUGGUUUCACACAAAUCAAAAGCAACGAGAGACCACAGACUGGCACCUCCUCAGAGCUGCAGCUGCUCUCUCAGCCAACACAAGCCAUGCGUACUAAGGAGAGACUACCAGUGUUUACCUCUCCUUACAGCACAGACCAACGGUAGACCGAGGGUGCUCUCCUUUUUCUUCUGUGGUUUCUGGCAGCCAACACCAGAUUCCUUCAUGUCUAUCACUGCAAUCAGCAGGCCAGACCUGCAGUCAGCCAAGCAGCUUGAAACAAAGCAGCAAGAAUGGCUGAACAUGAAGUAGGCGAAGCGUUUCUUUCUGGAUACUGCGAGGAAGAAUCUGUUUUCUCUCAGCUGUGUCAGUUUUCCACUCUUCAUCAGAGGACUAUUCUGUUUUGCGAUAGUGCGUCAUGCACCGCUUCCUCCUCAGAAGAGAGCUUAAAUGUGUUUUAACACCACUUCUCCCCGACCUGCAGACAGGGACUUAUCGUUCUCAUUCUUGCAGAAACGUACGCCUCAAAUUAUGUCAUUACCCCAAACUGUGUAUGCUCCGAUAUGCUAAGCGUGUUAUUUAAAUAGCAGAAGAUGUAAAGCAUCCAGAAAAUGAGGGUGUUGGUUAAAAAUGCAUGUAACGCAGAGACACUUUUACUGCGGAAUGAUAAAUGGGAUAAUUUCUGUUGGUACCAUCUAAGUGCUUUUCUUGGAAUAGUGCAUCACCUUCAGUGAUUAUUUGGUUUACACUAAAUCUUACUAAUACCACUCCAGAAACGACAGAGAAAUGGGAGACCUGCAGUAACACGGUGGCUGCGGUUACACGCACACAUUUUAUCAUCCUGAUUGAGGAUUUUAGCUCAAGUGUUUACACGGGACGUGAUUCAGUACGGUCUGCUGUGAACGUGAACGUGCAUGUGCACUUAAUUGGAAAAGUGUGACGGGCAAAAAGGAAGAAUAUGUCCUGGAUCAGACUUGACUUUUGUCUGUCCAGCACAGUAGUUGCUGCUAUCGUGUUGCUCUUAAUUCCUUAAGAGCAACACGUCUUAAUUCCUUAAGACAAAGUUUCCCAGAGGACCAGUUCAGCUUGAAAGCUGCUGUUCUGGGGAAGAGUCAGGAUGGGAUGGUUUACAUGUACAGUUUGUCUUCUGAUCGGUUUAUGAAAGCUUUAAUCUGGUUCAGGCCUGUGGAAAUAGUAGUAGCUGUGACAGCUUUCCUUAAGGGUUGAACCCUAGAUGUACUUUAAUAAAGAUCAUUACGUCAUUUUAAAUAAUUUUAUAUAAUUCUGGUUAAUUUGGCUAAUAGCCGAUACCAAUAUGUUAUUUUUAUGUAAGUAUUUUAAAGUUUGCUUGCUUUCUCAGUUUCUAUCUUUAAAAAAACAUGUUUACUACAUGUAUAAACAUACUGUAUUUGCAUUAUGAGGAGCUUGUUUCUCAUCUCCCACAAAGAAAGGUAAUUCACGCUCAGUCACAGGGCUUGCAAGUUUACUCUAGCAUAUUUUUCGGACCAUAAGGCGCACCGGAUUAUAAGAUGCAUUAAACAAAACAGUUAAGUCAAACUUUACUCAGCUCAUUCUUCUUGCUUCCUCCAUUUCCGUUCCGUACCGUCGAUUCAUUAAUGCUGAAUUCUCUCGCAGCUGCUCUAUCCCCAUGUUGUUGCAGUAUAUUAAUGACUAACCUCGUGUUGUGGAUGGAUUAUCUCAGUUGUUCUCCUGACUGAAGUUUGGUCCGUUUACAGCAUCCUGCCAUGCGAUUGCAUUUGUCCUUAACCAUCAGGAACCCUCACGUUAACUUUUAUCAAGUGGAAAAAAGUUAGCGUUCAUCCUCCAGCUUCACUGUGUUUAUAUCAUGCUAACAUAGCUGUGUCGCUAGCGAUCACGUAGCACAUUGUUAAAUACCAACUAGUCCAACUUCAGUAACUCUACAAACGUCACUGCUGUUGAGUUUUCUGUCCUCAUUUAUGUUGGAAGUGAUAGCAGAGCUGUACGUUUGAAUUUUUUCAGAAAUCUCAGUCAGAACAUGCUAUAUCAUGUUUAGGUGGAAGCUAGCGAGCUAACUUCCUGCUAACUUCUAACUCCGUUAAACUUCGUAAAUCCUGUUUUCAUGGAUGCCUGGAUGUUAAACUUAAUUGUUACACCUGGUAAAGCAGCAACGCUGAUCAUUUUAUUAAAGAUCAAAGAAUUUAGACAGUUUUUAACUCUCAGUGAUGCCGCAGUGUUCGUUUGACUUUGGAACCUGAAGCGGACGGAGUUUAGGACCCAGAUUACUCCACGAGGCUCCUGACUACGGUAGCCGCUAUGCUCCGACAAUCCAUCGAGCGGUGCAGCUUCGUAGCUUACCGAAGUCGUACUAAGACAUUUUUUGAAAGAUUUCUGAGCGCCGUGUACCAA